UUGAAGGACCAGGGGAGGGCCAAGGGGCCAGCGGUGUGGGGUGGAGCAGCGAGGCCGGUGACCCAGGCGGCGGACGCCUCACGGGGUGGAGGAGAGACUGGCGACAAGGAAGGAGCAGAAUCCUCAUGGAGCGGCAGGGAAGGUGAAGUCCCGACGGCUGAAGAUGGUGCGCACGGAGGAGCUCGGAUGAUGUCAAGGACGUUUAGCAGGACUGACUUAAGAUCGAACCCCUGACAGAGUUUAAGCAUGGUCCCGGUAGUUAUGCCUCAAUCCAUUCCAUAACAAAAUGCAUAUAUGUCCUGAAGGUAGGAUUUCACCUUCAGAUUGUCAUCAAGUUCGUCAAAUUUAUCGUUCCAUGCUGGAACAGUGUACUUUCACGAGUAUUUUUCUACUGAGUACAUAUAAUACUUUCACACCUAUGUUGUAUUAUAUUCCAACUCUCCAAGUACCUUGUGCUUUUGUUCUUGGAUUCUUUCUAAAUGCUCCACAAGUCCUGCACUAAUUUUGUCAACAAAAUAAUUAAGUGAAACAUGGCUCUGAGCUAUUGUCAUAUGGUACCUGUAUGGGCUCUAAUUGAGUUUGGCGGUCAUAUUUUCUUUAACUGUUGGUACAAGUCUUAAGUUGUGCUACUUUAGAACUUUCUGAAAUACAAACAGUAGCCAUAGUUCCAUAUGCAUUUCUUUGAUUGUAAUUUCUUGUUGGUACCUUAGCAAGCAAACUGGUCCGUUUCUAUCUUACCUGUUGUCAUCAAACUGGUGCCACAAAUCCAAUGGAUUUUGUUUCUGUUAAAUCAUAUUACGUCCAGAAAUGUGAGCUUAUAUCCGCUGCAUCUUUAGGGAAGCCAUUUUUUACGCUGCAAAUAAUGUGUGUGCUUAUCCCAUUAACUUGAGUGUGUUAUUACAAGUUGCAGGAGCAUGAAUGGUCCACAUCUCAGCUGGCUGUUGUUUCUGUAAGAAAUUACUUUCUUCAUUACGCAUUGCUCGUGAUUAUUCUGUCUUGAAUAAACAUAUGGUGUGGCACUUUUCGUAUAAUGAUUUUAUAUCUUUCUGGUCCCAAAUCAUGCCGUUGAUUUACUUUCGUUUUAUUUUAUUACUUUUGAUCAUUUUGGCUCUGAAAAGCAAUAGUACAGUAUAUCCAUGGAGUAUAAUAGAGUUGUUUGUUUGUUUGUUCUAUCAAGCCAGUUUUAUUCUAUUUGCAUGAGCAUAUACCAAACUUUUUUCAUGCUCGCUCAUGAACAAGAUGAGGGCACUGGUUAUGUAUUUCCAAACAAGGUUUUGAUUGAGAUAGGUAUUACUGAUUUCUUUGGAUUGCUAUGCUCCAAAACUUGAUGUAUUGUCUAGGCUAACUCUCUUUUUUUAAUUCAAAAACAAAGAAGAUUCCUACAACUACUGCAGAUUUGCAAAGAAUCGUGAAAUCAGAAUAUCCAUGUAUCAAAAGCAAAAAAGAUGCCUACAACUACUAUACAGGAAUGAUGUUCUAUAUUGCUGCCACACGAGAAUAUAUAUCGUAGUGCUCUCAAUAUAAAUUAAAAUGUUACUAGGGUUCUUGGUUAAUGCAUUGUUUUUUUCCUUUCCCAUCCAGAAUGAUAUUUGAUUGAAGAUAUGGAAUUAGUAUGAGAUCACUUUAGGGGGUUUAAACACUUGGAUAAGAUUAAACACAUGUUGUACCGAAUGAUAAUGGUACACCAUUUGGCGAUGGGUUCUCUAAAAAACUUAAAAUUCCACUAGAUAUUAUUUAGAUAUAAUGGAAAAGGGAUCAGAAAUGCGGUUUGUAUGACUGAAAACAUCCUUAACAUAUGGUUGUUCAUUAUACUCUGUGGUAGUGAGAUCGGUUAGUAAUGUUACACAUAAUAUAUAUUUUCCAGUUGUGUCCCUCACUCUCUUAAGCACGUUUCUGUUGUAUACUGGUUAGUUGUCACAAUGCAUGUAUUUGAGGAUGUCGUCGGGUCUCCAUUGUUGUACAUUUGUCUUGCCACUUUGUUGUUCAAAUUAUUUUUUAGGAAACUAUUUCAACUCUUCUGAAGGCCAUUUGUUCUUAAUGUUUUUCUUUAUAAGUAUCUCCAUAAUGGCACUUUCCACCUGGAAAAAGCAUCAAGGUCAGCGAUCCAGUUUUUGUUCUAUAGGCAUCUCUUCUUUGAAUGAGGCAUGGUAGCAGAUGAUGUAUCUGUUUUAUGUGUGUUAGAAGAGGCAUCCGGUUGCUUGACUUUGUACGCACAUUCUGAUUCUUUAAUCUUAGUUGU